rnacentral:rRNA from 1 species
GCUUGUCUCAAAGAUUAAGCCAUGCAUGUUCAAGUAUAGCAAGUGUACAGUGAAACUGCGAAUGGCUCAUUAAAUCAGUUAUAAUUUAUUUGAUAGUGAAAUUGUACAUGGAUAACCGUGGCAAUUCUAGGGCUAAUACAUGCGACAACCCCCGACUGCUUGCAGGAGGGGCGUAUUUAUUAGAUACAACCAACCCUUCGGGUCCCUGGUGAAUCAUAAUAACUUAGCGAACCGCAUGCUUCGGCGGCGGUGGUUCAUUCAAGUUUCUGCCCUAUCAGCUUUCGAUGGUAGGGUAUUGGCCUACCAUGGCUUUGACGGGUAACGGAGGAUUAGGGUUCGAUUCCGGAGAGGGAGCCUGAGAGAUGGCUACCACAUCCAAGGAAGGCA